GACGUAGGGCGCGAGCGUUGUCCGGAUUUAUUGGGCGUAAAGCGCGUGUAGGCGGCCAGAUAAGUCCGCUGUGAAAUCUCGAGGCUCAACUUCGAGCUGUCGGUGGAAACUGUCUGGCUAGAGUCCGGAAGAGGAGAAUGGAAUUCCUGGUGUAGCGGUGAAAUGCGCAGAUAUCAGGAAGAACACCCGUGGCGAAGGCGGUUCUCUGGGACGGUACUGACGCUGAGACGCGAAAGCGUGGGGAGCGAACAGG
rnacentral:rRNA from 1 species